GAUGAACGCUAGCGGCAGGCCUAACACAUGCAAGUCGAGGGGCAGCACAGGUAGCAAUACUGGGUGGCGACCGGCGGAUGGGUGCGUAACGCGUAUGCAACCUACCAUUGAUUGGGGCAUAGCCCGAAGAAAUUCGGAUUAAUACUCCAUAAUAUUCAUCAAAGGCAUCUUUUAUGAAUUAAAGCUUUUGCGAUCAAUGAUGGGCAUGCGUGACAUUAGUUAGUUGGUGAGGUAACGGCUCACCAAAACGAUGAUGUCUAGGGGUUCUGAGAGGAUUAUCCCCCACACUGGUACUGAGACACGGACCAGACUCCUACGGGAGGCAGCAGUGAGGAAUAUUGGUCAAUGGACGCAAGUCUGAACCAGCCAUGCCGCGUGCAGGAUGACGGCCCUAUGGGUUGUAAACUGCUUUUCCACGGGAAGAACCCUCCGACGUGUCGGAGACUGACGGGUACCGUGGGAAUAAGCAUCGGCUAACUCCGUGCCA
rnacentral:rRNA from 1 species